rnacentral:tRNA from 2 species
GCCUGGGUGGCUCAGUUGGUUGAGCAUCUGACUUCGGCUCAGGUCAUGAUCUCUCACAGUUUGUGGGUUUGAGCCCCACCUUGGGCU